GGCUGGCUGGAGGCAGAGAGGGCGAGCCAGGGCGGGGCUUGGCCUGACAGGCCCGAGCGGACCCGCCCCUUCGCGGUUGCCCCAGGAAAGAGCCUGAUUUGUUUGUUUGUUUGCUCAUAGCUUUUCCUUCUCCCAACUCCUCGCUCAUCCAGAAAUAGAGGUUAUCGCCAUGCCUCUUCUUCAUGCCUCCAGAUCCUUCAGCUCUGACGUUGGAUGGCAGCAACUAACAGCAGAGUCACUGAGAGGGAUGAGAUAGCUGAAUGCUUGGUACAUGAAACAAUGAAGAAGACCAUUGUCUUCUUGGUACAUGAAACAAUGAAGAAGACAAGUGUCCCAGUGGACAUUGCUGAUGAAAGAGGGUGGAGAUUGUCUACAGCGUGGAGUCUCCCAUGUGGCCAGUGGAAGUCCUCUGCCCAGUCAGACUUUGUGCGACAGAGGGAAGAAGAAGCAGCUCUAUAA
rnacentral:lncRNA from 1 species